GAUGAAGAACGUGCGAAAUGCGAUACUUGGUGUGAAUUGCAGAAUCCCGUGAACCAUCGAGUCUUUGAACGCAAGUUGCGCCCGAAGCCAUCAGGUUGAGGGCACGUCUGCCUGGGCGUCACAUAUCGUUGCCCAAUGCCUAUUGCAGUGCAAUAGGAAUUUCUAGGGCGAAUGAUGGCUUCCCGUGAGCGUUGUUGCCUCGCGGUUGGUUGAAAAUCGAGUCCUUGGUAGGGUGUGCCAUGGUAGAUGGUGGUCGAGUUAGAACGAUACCGAUCAUGUGCAUGCUCCCCAAAAUAUGGCCUCUAUGACCCACACGCGUCUUUUGACGCUCAUGACGAGACCUCAGGUCAGGCGGGGCUACCCGCUGAAUUUAAGCAUAUCAAUAAGCGGAGGA
rnacentral:misc_RNA from 1 species